CUGAACCAGCCAAGUAGCGCGAAGGAUGACUGCCCUAUGGGUUGUAAACUUCUUUUAUAAAGGAAUAAAGUCGGGUAUGGAUACCCGUUUGCAUGUACUUUAUGAAUAAGGAUCGGCUAACUCCGUGCCAGCAGCCGCGGUAAUACGGAGGAUCCGAGCGUUAUCCGGAUUUAUUGGGUUUAAAGGGAGCGUAGAUGGAUGUUUAAGUCAGUUGUGAAAGUUUGCGG
rnacentral:rRNA from 1 species